UCGAAAAUAAAUAGCCGACUUGUUGCACUGUUACUCAGUUUCGUCUGGUUUCGUCGAAGUUAAUGGUGCACCGCAAGGGGUUAAUCGAAAUAACCUCGAAUAUAACCUAAUCUCUGUUAUCUAAUUAUCACAAUGGAGAAGUUAUUCUCAGUCUCAUCAAAUGAAAGGGGAUCCAUUUAGAUCUCGACAUUUUUAUGUGAACUAGAGAUACAAGUACACUAAAGAAACAGAACAGCUUAAAUGAAUUGGUUUUUCCCAGUGACGUAUCGUACAGUUUGUAGAGUGUCGAGCGGCUGUUCAAAUUUGCAUCUUUGUGACUAAUGAUUUAAGAUACUACUCUGAAAGCAACGAUAUUGUUGUCCUUUUUUGGGGAUCUUUUGCUCGUAGAGACUCACAGUAAUAGAGUAAAUGUAUCCGAUAUCGACCCGAGUUCAAGGAAAGGUCUUUCAAGAUAGAUUACAUUUACCAAGCAGCGUAGGGAGAUUCCUUGUCUAUUGGGUUUUCCGAAUUGCAUCAGGAUGAUGAAUUCUUCAGAUGGGUGGAAUAGAUUAUCCGAUGACCAAGCUGAUAGUCUUCCAGAAGAUGACAGGACGGCAAAGAACCAGGAGAAUUGGACUGUCGGGGAUGGAACAGGCUCGACAAAUGCUGCUCGACAGAGGAUUCCAGAGGCCCAAAAUGCCUCGGAGAAUACCUCUCUGUCCCCAAAUGUCAAUCAGACAUAUUUUGCCGACCAGAAGAUCCUUAUACCAGACAUAGACAGUACUAAGUUUAGCUUUAGGAAAUUAUGGGCAUUCACCGGGCCUGGUUUUCUGAUGUCCAUUGCCUACCUCGAUCCUGGAAAUAUAGAAUCGGAUCUACAGUCUGGAGUUGUCGCUAAGUACAGGCUACUAUGGGUCCUCCUCAGUGCAACGGUCUUAGGUCUCGUCAUGCAGAGGCUCAGUGCACGACUUGGCGUCGUCACCGGUCUUCAUCUAGCCGAGAUGUGCUACCGACAAUAUAAAAAAGUUCCAAGGCUCAUUCUGUGGGUCAUGAUCGAAGUAGCCAUUAUAGGAAGUGACAUGCAGGAAGUGAUAGGCACGGCCAUUGCCAUCUCCCUCUUAUCGAACAAGUUAAUACCAUUGUGGGGAGGAGUACUGAUUACUGUAGUGGACACAUUCACAUUUUUAUUUUUGGACAAGUACGGCUUACGUAAGCUGGAAUGCUUCUUUGGGUUUCUUAUCAUGAUAAUGGCAGUAACGUUUGGUUACGAGUACAUUGUGUCAGCGCCACCGCAGUUGGAUGUCUUAAGUGGUAUGUUCGUGCCUUGGUGUAAGGAUUGCGACUCCGGAGCAUUACUUCAAGCAGUGGGGAUCGUCGGUGCUGUUAUAAUGCCCCACAACUUGUACCUUCAUAGUGCACUUGUUAAGUCCAGGGACAUCGACAGGAGGCGGCCGGAGAAAGUUCGAGACGCUAAUAUGUAUUAUUUCAUCGAGGCUUCGAUUGCCCUCUUCGUCUCGUUCGUGAUAAACGUUUUCGUCGUCGCUGUCUUCGCCCAUGGACUGUUCGGGAAGACCAACGCCGAUAUCUACAAAAUUUGCAAGGACAGCAACGAUACUGCAGGGAUGCAAGAGUUCACUAACAACAACGACACCUUCGACGCAGACCUCUACAAAGGUGGCGUUUAUCUCGGUUGCCAGUACGGGAUCCCGGCUAUGUAUAUUUGGGCCAUUGGUAUUCUGGCGGCAGGUCAAUCGUCGACCAUGACCGGCACUUAUGCCGGCCAGUUCGCGAUGGAAGGUUUUCUGAAUCUGCAAUGGGCACGCUGGAAGAGGGUCCUCUUCACCCGAUGCAUCGCCAUCGUUCCUACUUUCCUGAUCGCCUUUUUCGCCAGUAUCGAAGACCUCAGUGGCAUGAACGACAUACUCAACGCAGUGAUGAGCCUGCAGCUGCCAUUCGCCACGUUGCCCACUAUUGCCUUCACCAGCAGCCCUCAAAUCAUGGGAGACUUUAAGAAUGGAAUGUUAAAUAAAGUCGUCUCCUCGAUGUUAUCGGCCCUCGUGAUAACGAUCAAUAUUUAUUUCGUGGUGAGCCUGGUGAACAAGGACGUACAAAACUGGCCGGUCUUCCUGGCUAUCUGCAUCUUCGGUGUUUUGUACUUGAUCUUCUGUUUGUACCUCGUGAUACACGUAGCUGCGAGUAUGGGAGCUACGUGGAUUAACAAUCACUGGUUCGUUGCAAAGUACGUUGGCAGUCCUGUGAUCACGAACUUCGGUUUCCAAAGUCCUGCGGUCUACUCUAGUACGAAUCCAACAUUUACGAUCCAAGAAACUCCGGAAGGAAGUCACAACAAUCUUGCAGAGUAUUAUAGAACAACCAAUCGAUAAGGAAAGCUGCAUUGGAAGAUUGGUAAUCUUUAGAUUUUACAAAAUGACAGCAUUUGAGGUUGACUUGUAAAUAUUUAAUGCUUAUGUGCAUGUUCAUCGAUAAAUGGAUCGGUGGUGAGUCGAAGAUAAUACUGGUUGUGGUCUCGCUUGUAAUGGCAAUAAACAAAUGCAACAAUCAGGAAAACUAGGAGGAUUAACAUCAACACGGAGGACGUCAGAAUCGCUGAAACAAAUGUAUACAAAUAUAUAUCCAAUAUAAAUAAUUAAAAGUGAAAGUGAACGUC
rnacentral:misc_RNA from 1 species